AGGGAAAGAAGAAAGAAAGAAAGAGAAAGAAGAAAGAAAAAAAGACAAAGAAAAAGAAAGAAAAGAAAUAAAGAAAACUGUAGAUACUGAAUAGUGACAUGUGUGAUCUGCUUGUUGCUAAGAUAUCAAUUGUACCUUGGUCUUUUUCUGCUUCCCUUCUUUUCCUUCUCUGUUUUAUCCUUAAUCUCUAUUCUAUGAGGUUUAGAAUGUAGUUAUUCUAGCACUCUCUAUUUCCUAAGAACCCACAAAAGGAAACAGAAUAGAGUCCAUGAAGACUUUCUGAGGAGUUCACCUACUGACGGUCCAUCUCCAGUCCACUGAAGCACAUAAAACAUCCUACUGCAGAAAUCAGAGAAAGCAAGAUUAUCUUAUGAGAAACACAAUCUCUCCUCUUAAAGAUGAAAGGACUGCACCUUGAGAGGCCCUUCCUGUUGAGUUGUCAUCUGAACAAAUCAGAGUGGUGGUUGAGGACACCAGAUGUGUUAUUUCCUACCACAGAAAAUUGGAGGGCUCACACGGUUCCACUGCAAUUGAAUUUGUUGAUUAUCUUUGCAAGAGGGAGAAGCUUAGCAUCAGUGAAGACAUUGGUAUUUGAUGGAGUUUUGCUCUUGUUGCCCAGGCUAGAGUGCAACGGCGUGAU